AUGGUGAAGAGGAAGUGGUGCGUUCAGAGAAUUUGGAGGUGGUUUAGAAUGGUGAAGGUUGAUAAAGAUGAAGAAAAGGUUCUGGAGUCGGGGAGGAGAAAGAUCCAGAAUCAUGGGCAUGGUUGCUUUCUUGCAGGUUUGUUACCUUUGGUUUGUGAUGCCCAAUUGGUUGUCUUUUGGUUUUUCAUAGCAGGGCUGCUCUAG